UCUCUGGUAGUAUAUCGGUUAGUACACGCGCCUGUCAUUAUCAUAAUCUCUAGAUCGCGCGAAAGCUGGGUUCGACUCCCAGCCAGAGAG